rnacentral:rRNA from 1 species
UACAGAGGUCUCGAGCGUUGUUCGGAUUCAUUGGGCGUAAAGGGUGCGUAGGUGGCGCCGUAAGUCGGGUGUGAAAUUUCGGAGCUUAACUCCGAAACUGCAUUCGAUACUGCGGUGCUUGAGGACUGGAGAGGAGACUGGAAUUCAUGGUGUAGCAGUGAAAUGCGUAGAGAUCGGGAGGAACAUCAGUGGCGAAGGCGGCGACCUGGAUCAGAACUGACACUGAGGCACGAAAGCGUGGGGAGCAAACAGG